AACCAUUCUCACCUGCGGCUAGACCUGCGGAGGGAUCAUUACAGAGUUGCAAAACUCCCUAAACCAUUGUGAACGUUACCUAAACCGUUGCUUCGGCGGGCGGCCCGGGUCCUUCCCGGCGCCCCUCGGCCCUCGCGGGCGCCCGCCGGAGGUAAACCAAACUAUUGCAUUGUAUGGCCUCUCUGAGUCUUCUGUACUGAAUAAGUCAAAACUUUCAGCAACGGAUCUCAGAUCGGAAGA
rnacentral:misc_RNA from 1 species